rnacentral:miRNA from 1 species
UCUCUUGAUUCUAGAUGAUGU